rnacentral:rRNA from 1 species
UACGUAGGUGGCAAGCGUUGUCCGGAAUUAUUGGGCGUAAAGGAUGCGUAGGCGGUCUUUUAAGUGGGAUGUGAAAUACCUGGGCUUAACUCAGGGAUUGCAUUCCAAACUGGGAGACUAGAGUGCAGGAGAGGAAAGUGGAAUUCCCAGUGUAGCGGUGAAAUGCGUAGAGAUUGGGAGGAACACCAGUGGCGAAGGCGACUUUCUGGACUGUAACUGACGCUGAGGCAUGAAAGCGUGGGGAGCAAACAGGAUUAGAUACCCUGGUAGUCCACGCUGUAAACUAUGAGUACUAGGUGUGGGGGGCGAAGCCCUCUGUGCCGCAGUUAACACAAUAAGUACUCCGCCUGGGAAGUACGAUCGCAAGAUUAAA